ACCAAUGACUGGACAUCGUUUGUGCAUUUUUGGAAAUUCAUUUUUAAAAAAUUAAAGAAUAACUUGGAAAAAAACAAUUUAAUGAGAUGAUGAGAGAAUUGAUGAACGAAACACGACUUGACCGGACAGCUAAUUGAUAAUGACUGUGUAUAAUAAAAAAAAUAAUCAACUUUGGAAAUUAAAAAAAAAUAAUUGUAAAUUUGUUUAUCAAAUUUAGAUAAAAAAACAGUGUAACCAACAUGAGUAGAAAUGAAAUACUGUAAAUAUUUUUACGAGGUAGAAUUUUGUAGACAAUCAGUGUGAAAUGUGUAGUAGGAUGGCGCGGCGGUGUGCGUCGAAGGGCAGGUCGCGAGACCGCCUAGAACCGCCGUCGGUGCAGAUCUUGGUGGUAGUAGCAAAUACUCGAGAGGGGCCCUCGGGGGCUGCCGUGGAGAAGGGUUUCUUGCGAACAGCCGUUGUCCAAGAGCCAGUCGAUCCUAAGCCCGGGGAGAGAUCCUCGUACCACGGGCGAAGGCGUUUUCGAAUCGCCCUUGGGGCGAGAGGGAAUCCGGUUCGUAUUCCGGAACCCGACGCGGAACCGCUCCCUAGUGUUCGGGGCUCUUUUUUCUCGUCUGGGUAACCAGAAUGAACUCGAAGAAGCCGCCGGGGGAUCUGGGUAGAGUUCUCUUUUCUCUGUGAGCGUUGUACGUCCCUGGAAUCCUCUAGCCGGGCAAUAGGGACGCGAGCGCGAAGAGCACAGCUCGUUGCGGCGGUGUCCGUGAUCCCCACGCGGACCUUGAAAAUUCGAGAGAGGGCCACGCGGAGUCUUCGCGUCGGUUCGUACCGAUAUCCGCAGCAGGUCUCCGAGGUGAGCAGCCUCUAGUC
rnacentral:rRNA from 14 species